UACAGAGGUCUCAAGCGUUGUUCGGAUUCAUUGGGCGUAAAGGGUGCGUAGGUGGCGCCGUAAGUCAGGUGUGAAAUUUCGGAGCUUAACUCCGAAACUGCAUUUGAUACUGCGGGGCUUGAGGACUGGAGAGGAGACUGGAAUUUACGGUGUAGCAGUGAAAUGCGUAGAGAUCGUAAGGAAGACCAGUGGCGAAGGCGGGUCUCUGGACAGUUCCUGACACUGAGGCACGAAGGCCAGGGGAGCAAACGGG
rnacentral:rRNA from 1 species